CAUCUAAGCACGAAACUUGCCUCGAGAUGAGUUCUCCCACACAAUAAGUGUGUAAGGGUUGUUGGAGACUACGACGUAGAUAGGCUGGGUGUGUAAGUGUUGUGAGACAUUGAGCUAACCAGUACUAAUUGCCCGAGAGGCUUAACUAUACAACGCUCAA
rnacentral:rRNA from 1 species